UACACGUGCGAUCCAACACUAUAUAAGAGGCACAUCACUGCUAAGUGAGAGGGCGGGUUUCUACAAAAAGGCGGGAAACAGCGUCAUACUCAUCCCUAACCUCCAAAUUCUACAGACCAUCCUCUUCUCCGACCUAUAUCAAUAAUGGGUAUUAAGGGUUUAACGAAGCUUUUGGCGGACAAUGCACCCAAGUCCAUGAAAGAGCAAAAAUUCGAAAGCUAUUUUGGCCGCAAGAUCGCUGUGGAUGCGAGCAUGAGCAUAUAUCAAUUUCUUAUUGUUGUGGGAAGAAGUGGGGCUGAGAUGUUGACCAAUGAAGCUGGUGAAGUUACUAGUCAUUUGCAAGGUAUGUUUGCGAGAACAAUUAGGCUUCUUGAGGCCGGAAUCAAGCCAGUUUAUGUUUUUGACGGGAAACCUCCAGAGAUGAAAAAGCAAGAACUGGCAAAACGGUACUCAAAGAGGGCAGAUGCUACUGAGGAUUUGGCGGCUGCCAUGGAGUCUGGCAAUAAGGAAGACAUUGAGAAAUUCAGCAAACGGACUGUGAAGGUUACAAAGCAGCACAAUGAUGACUGCAAAAGGCUAUUAAAGCUCAUGGGUGUUCCUGUUAUUGAGGCUCCUUCAGAAGCAGAAGCACAGUGUGCUGCACUUUGCAAAUCAGGGAAGGUUUAUGGUGUGGCUUCUGAAGAUAUGGAUUCUCUAACAUUUGGAGCUCCUAGAUUUCUACGCCAUUUGAUGGAUCCCAGCUCAAGAAAAAUCCCAGUCAUGGAAUUUGAAGUUGCAAAGAUUUUGGAGGAGCUAAAUCUUACCAUGGAUCAGUUCAUUGAUCUGUGCAUUCUUUCUGGAUGUGAUUAUUGUGAGAACAUUCGAGGUAUCGGAGGACUGACUGCAUUGAAGCUCAUCCGUCAACAUGGCUCCAUAGAGAAUAUACUGGAGAACCUAAACAGAGAGAGGUACCAAAUACCAGAUAAUUGGCCAUAUCAAGAGGCUAGGCAGCUUUUUAAAGAGCCGAACGUCUAUAGUAAUGAAGAAGAACCUGAGAUUAAGUGGACUGCUCCAGAUGAAGAAGGGUUGAUUGCCUUUUUGGUAAAUGAAAAUGGAUUCAACAGUGACAGGGUGACAAAGGCAAUAGAAAAAAUUAAAGUGGCGAAGAACAAAUCAUCACAGGGCAGAUUGGAAUCAUUUUUCAAGCCAGUUGCUAAUUCAGCCGUACCAAUUAAGCGGAAGGGAAGCAAAUGUGUGCUUAGACCUCCUAAACCAGCCUUGAAGCAUAAGGUGUUCUCUUUGAAAGCAUCUAAUUCAUUCGGGACCAAGAUCAUUGGCGGUUUGAGCCUGCCAAUAUUAGAUCUGGGUUUCAGGCACUCUAUCCCAUUAUCCAAAGGUGUUUGCUUUGUCCGUUGAAGUUGAAAUCCUGGAAACACCUGUGAACACUGCUGCUAAAGCUGGCAGUAACAAGAAAGCAAAAGCGGGUGGUAGUAAAAAGAAGAAAUAGUUUAUUUGGCAUCAGAACAUAGAGCCCAACUUUAUUGUAAUCAGGAAGAUUACAUCUUGUAACAGCUUAUGAGAUCCAUGCAUGCUUUGGAUUUUGUUGAGCUCAUAAUGGAAGUUGAUUGAUGUAAUAUUUAGGUUUUCUUCUUCUAACAUGAAACUUUCUGCUUAGCUUUCGUUUAAAGAAACAGUAAUUUAAUUCCAUAGCCUUUUUUUUAA